UACGAAGGGGGCUAGCGUUGCUCGGAAUCACUGGGCGUAAAGGGCGCGUAGGCGGAUCUUUAAGUUGGGGGUGAAAUCCCGGGGCUCAACCUCGGAAUUGCCUUCAAAACUGGAUAUCUUGAGUUCGGGAGAGGUGAGUGGAACUCCGAGUGUAGAGGUGAAAUUCGUAGAUAUUCGGAAGAACACCAGUGGCGAAGGCGACUCACUGGCCCGAUACUGACGCUGAGGCGCGAAAGCGUGGGGAGCAAACAGG
rnacentral:rRNA from 1 species